GCCCCGCCGCCCCGCCGCCCUUUUAUCGCGGCGCUGAGGAAUGCGGCCCCGGCCGUCGCCAUAUUUGGGCCGCGGGGCCCGGCGCGGCCCCGGCCCGGCGCUGCCCAAAGAAGGCGCUGCUGGACGCGGCCCAGGGGAGGCAGGAGAGGAGGAAGAAAGAGUAAACCAGAAGUGUUCCCAUUGUGAGGAGUCGCCUGAAAGCAAGGCAGUGCUGGAGUUACUGCCUCCCCUGCGAUGCAGCACGAGAAGGGUCAGUGCAGAAGCGAGCAGCUCUUCGUCUCCGUGCCCGCAUCCUCUGGCUUGGCAGCGUGCUUUACCUCUGGCAGCUCCCUGUCUCCUUCUGCUAUACAUUUUCAUUCCCUGUCAUGUUAUUGUGUUAAAUUAUACGGGGGAUAAAAGAUGCUGUUCCCUCACGCUAUUUUUCAACUCGCGUUAUUAUUCUUCAGUUCUGUCAUCUACAGCUGGCAGUACACAAACCAGAAGCCCGAAAGCACUUAAGGGAAUCACAGCCAUCACAUUUAUUUGCAGAGCUGUGAGACUCCCGGCUUCCAAAAUACAGUCAGUCGUGUUGAUUAGGCUGUGACUCUGAAAUCAAGUUGUGUUUGUAACAGAAAUCCCGCCUAAAACAUUAACGCUGCUGAAAGAUAAACAUUCUCAAUGGUCCUUCAGGGAAAGCGGACACAAGCCUAAACUUACUCUUUACCCGUGGUUUCUCUUUAUUUUCUCUUUACCCUAAAUACAGUUCAAAGCAAAACAGUGACAGUGUUGGACUCACUAAAUCAAUCUGACUUAGGCUGUAAGUCAGAAAACAUUUUAGUUUCCGAAAGAGAGCACAAAGAAAACCACUGUACACAACGACCAACUAAUAAAACCUACCACAAAUGGCAAUUGCCAAACUUUCCUGCUACUCUUAUGACAAUAGAGGAUAGAAGCAUGAGCAUUUUGUACCGUGUGUAUUGCCCAUCAAUGAAGAAGUAACUAUUUAAGAAACAAAACACACCACCUUAUUCUAAAGGAGCUGUCCACACUCCUUUAGCUGUUUCAGUCAAAACCUGCUGUUUUAUGUUCCAGCUUUCCUAAUUGUUUCCAAGUGUGGCAAAACCAGAGCUCCUGCGUGACCUUUGAUAUGCAGUGGUAAAUGAAGGCAUCCUCCCCAUACAGUAACCCGAGACAAGAGUUCUGUGUAAGAGCGACUUAUUACAUAAUGAAACGGGGCUAUUCCUCCUCGCCAUUUCCAAAUCCCCGACUUUUCAAGCUCCUUAACACAACAGCGAACCAAUUUAACAUUCCUAGCACGAGAGAACACUUAACUUCAGUUUAGGCAUGGAAGUUAUUUUAAUGAGGUUUUAUUUAAGUAAACCCAUUGCCCGUAGCCUUCUGUUUUGGCAAUAGACAGAUGAAAGGCAUUGUACAAAUGCCAAAUACCUCCUAACCCUGCAGUAGAAUAAAACAUUAAUUGUGAAGACUACAUGGCUGAUCGCUUCCUGAGAACUUGCAGAGUGCUUUUACACCAACCGGAAUAAACACAUCUCACAAAGGAAGCCAAGAGCUUUGAAGCAGACUGAUAGCUACGGGUGGACAGAAACGCGUCCUUCUCGAGGAAGCUUUCCUGGGCUUACCCUGUCAGUCCUAACAGAAUACAGGCAGCCGACAGUCUAGGAAGGCAUGACAUAUCCCUGAAGGAUUUUACUGUGGACAGUCAAUUAAAGAAAUUCCUCCUCAAGCAAAACGUGUCUAGUAAAAGUUCAGGUAGAACAUAUUUCAGCAGGGGAUGUCAAUCAUCUGUUACAGUAUUCCCUUUCCCUUAAAAUGUUACGUUUAUCAAUAACAUGAAACCACCUUUAAAGUGAUAUUUAAACAAAGAGGUGGGAUUUUUCUAAUGGCUUAAAUGACCCACUUCCUUGAAACCACAGCUAGGAGCUGGACCCACACUUCAUAAUCAACCACGUAAGACAGCAGAAGAGCAGAGUUCGUUUCUUAGAACAAUCUUAGAAGAUGACUGCUAAUGCAUUUCUUUCCCAUAUUAGUUAGAACCUCUCUAGAUAAAGCUAUUCUUCCAAACAUGUUCAGACUCUCAGCCCAGCUUACUGUAUUAGUACAGGGAGGAGGGGAAGCAACGGAAGGGGAGCUGCGCUUUUAAAACUAGAAACUGGAUUCUCUUCAACCGAUUUAACUUCUGACCUUCUCAGCUGUUGGAUCAAGUUGUUGCAGCAGGCAUCUCGCCAGACAAGUAAAACAUAAGGGCAUGCAACUUGCUCUGCAUUCAUUCUCUUCAUGUUAAGCUACUUGCAAAGGAAAGGUGCAACGUGACAGAUUAAAGUAACACUGAUUUAAUUUAAAAAUUAAAAUCUGCUACCACCCAGAAUAACGAAAAUGGAUUUAUUGAUUUUGUCCUCCCACAUUAGAGAUAACAGGGACAAUGUGGUGGUAAAAAAAAAAGAAAAAAGAAAAAAAAAAAAA